GCAAUUUAUUCAAUUUUUAUUUAUAUAUAUAUAAGUUAAGAACAUUGAAAAAAAUAUUUGAACCUUUGAGAAUGCAUUGUCUUUUUUUUCAAGCAAUAGAAAGGCAAAGUAUAUUGCAAUUUAAAUAUGUUUUUCUUUUGUAAUGUUCUCCAUUCAUUCUCUUCCCAUUAGACUGGACAACCUGGACAGAUUUGUGAUAAGACCUCAUCCUCUUAUAACAGCCAAGCCUGUAAAAUGGUAAGCACAUCAUUGUAACUGUAACUCUUUUAACCCUUUUAAGAAUCUGUCA
rnacentral:lncRNA from 11 species